rnacentral:tRNA from 1 species
GCUCAUGUGGCGAAAUAGGUAGACGCACAGGACUUAAAAUCCUGUAUCCGCAAGGGUGUGCCAGUUCGAUUCUGGCCAUGAGCACCA